rnacentral:tRNA from 1 species
GAGGGUAUAUCUCAAGUGGUAGAGCAUAUGCUCUGUAUGCAUGAGGUCCUGGGUUCAAUCCCCAGGACCUCCU